AUGUCCCGCACCACCGGCGGCUUCGCCUCCGGCCGACCCCUGCUGGUCCUUGCUGCGGUCCCCUGGUCGGCUAGAGAAAAGCAGGAGAAGAAAAAUCAAAGGCCGGGUAUCCAGUCGGCUGGUCAAAAGAAAAAAGAAAAAUGGGCUGGGUCCGGCUGCUGGCGUGAAGUCGGACCAAGAAGCAAAAAAAAAGAAGAAACAAGAGAGAGAGGCCGGCUGGGAGAAAAAGAAAAAGGGCCGACUGCCCGCUGUAGCCGGCUGCUCAUGCAAAGGAAAAGAGGUCUGACUGACCAAGUCAACAGCCGGCUGACGAGAAAAAAGAGAGAAAAGAAAUAUGCGUCCGGCUGCCCGCAGCUGGACAAAGAGAAGGAGGAAGAAGACAAAGUGGUUGCCGGGAGAUCCGGCCCGACUGCUCAGCAGUCGGCCCAGAUCUCGGGGGCUACACCCAGCGGGUGCGCUGACGCGCCCCCGCGAGGAAGAAGACAAAGUAGUUGCCGAGAGAUCCGGCUCGACUGCUCAGCAGUCGGCCUAGAUCUCAGGGGCUACACCCGGCGGGUGCGCUGA
rnacentral:rRNA from 1 species